rnacentral:lncRNA from 1 species
ACCAGAGCCCCGUAGAUCUGUCCCGGUAGAUUCAGGGCAUUACCCAUCGAGCCCCAGGUUCGAUCGUCCAGUGUAGAUCAGGUCAUUACCCACAGAGCCCCAGGUUAGAUCUGUCCAGUGUAGAUCAGGUCAUUACCCACAGAGCCCCAGGUUAGAUCUGCCCAGUGUAGAUCAGGUCAUUGUCCAC